rnacentral:rRNA from 1 species
UACGUAGGGUGCAAGCGUUGUCCGGAUUUAUUGGGCGUAAAGAGCGUGUAGGCGGCCUGAAAGGUCAGUUGUGAAAACUCGAGGCUCAACCUCGAGACGUCGGUUGAAACCAUCUGGCUAGAGUCCGGAAGAGGAGUGUGGAAUUCCCGGUGUAGCGGUGAAAUGCGCAGAUAUCGGGAAGAACACCCGUGGCGAAGGCGGCACUCUGGGACGGUACUGACGCUGAGACGCGAAAGCGUGGGGAGCGAACAGG